GUGCUCGCAUUGGCCGCACAUACACAAAAAUUGGAAUGGUACAGAGAUUAGCAUGACCCAUGCACAAGGAUGACAUGCAAAUGCAUGAAGCAUCCCAUAUUUGG